AUGUAGAAAUGAGAAAGCCCUAAAGUUGAGUUUCAGCUUUUCUGCAAAUCAAUUGGAUAAUUUUGGGCCGAUCCUCUAAUUUUAUGAGCCCAUAUUUUUUCAAAAAUUUCUCUGCAAAGUGGAGAUGAUGAAUGUUGUGGAGCAGUGAUACAGAUUAUAAGGAAUGAAGUAUUUAUGCCUGGAAUCCCAGCACUCUGGAAGCUGAGGUUUUCUAGUUGGAGACCUGGAAAUUAAACUAACAAAGACAGAACCCCAAAGGAAACGCAAACAGAGUUUAUUGACACAUGGGGCCUGCACACACCUGGUUGAAAUUCAAAGCUACACCACGUCUCUCUCUCCAGAAUACAAUCCCAAAGGAGAAGGGAGGAGCAGUUGCUUGCCACGGAGAGUUAGGGGAAGGAAACUGGAAAUGAUCUACAUAAGUUUUUUACAAACUUUCAACCAACCCUCCUGUUUUCAGACCUACUCAAGAAUCCCACCUUUGGAAAAACC